AGGACGAACGCUGGCGGCGUGCUUAACACAUGCAAGUCGAACGGAAAGGCCCGCUUGCGGGUACUCGAGUGGCGAACGGGUGAGUAACACGUGGGCAACCUGCCCUCAGCUUCGGGAUAACAUUUGGAAACAGGUGCUAAUACCGGAUAAUAACCUUUCAUCGCAUGGUGUGGGGUUCAAAGUUUUUCGGCUGGGGAUGGGCCCGCGGCCUAUCAGCUUGUUGGUGGGGUAAUGGCCUACCAAGGCGACGACGGGUAGCCGGCCUGAGAGGGCGACCGGCCACACUGGGACUGAGACACGGCCCAGACUCCUACGGGAGGCAGCAGUGGGGAAUAUUGCGCAAUGGGCGGAAGCCUGACGCAGCGACGCCGCGUGAGGGAUGACGGCCUUCGGGUGUAAACCUCUUUCAGCUCUGACGAAGCGCAAGUGACGGUAGGAGACGAGAAGAAGCACCGGACCAACUACGCGCCAGCAGCCGC
rnacentral:rRNA from 1 species